rnacentral:lncRNA from 1 species
UCACACUUAUAAGGUUUCUCACCGGCAUGAAUUAUCAGAUGUUGGGCAAGGUAUGAAUUGCGACUGAAGACCUUGCCACAUUCAUUACAUUUGUAAGGUUUCUCUCCAGUGUGGAUUCUCUGAUGUUGUGCAAGGUGUGAAAUAUGAUGGAAGACCUUUCCACAUACAUUACAUCUGUAAGGUUUCUCUCCAGUAUGAAUGAUCAGAUGUUGUACAAGGUAGGAAUUGCGACUGAACACCUUGCCACAUUUGUUACAUUCGUAAGGUUUCUCUCCGGUAUGAAUUCUUUGAUGUUGUGCAAGGUGUGAAAUUUGAUUAAAGACCUUGCCACAUUCAUUACAUUUAUAUGGUUUCUCUCCAGUAU